AUUGAACGCUGGCGGCAGGCUUAACACAUGCAAGUCGAGCGAGCGGCGGACGGGUGAGUAAUGUCUGGGAAACUGCCUGAUGGAUGGGUAUAACUACUGGAAACUGUAACUAAUACCGCAUACCAUCAGAGGUGCCCAGAUGGGAUUAGCUAGUAGGUGGGGUAAUGGCUCACCUGGGCGACGAUCCGUAGCUGGUCUGAGAGGACGACCAGCCACACUGGAACUGAGACACGGUCCAGACUCCUACGGGAGGCAGCAGUGGGGAAUAUUGGACAAUGGGGGCAAGCCUGAUGCAGCCAUGCCGCGUGUGUGAAGAAGGCCUUCGGGUUGUAAAGCACUUUCAGCGAGGAGGCGUUACUCGCAGAAGAAGCACCGGCUAACUACGUGCCAGCCGCCGCGGUAAUAC
rnacentral:rRNA from 1 species